rnacentral:rRNA from 1 species
UACGAAGGGUGCAAGCGUUAUUCGGAAUCAUUGGGCGUAAAGGGUGCGCAGGCGGUAUGUUAAGUCAGUUGUUAAAUUCUUCGGCCUAACUGAAGGUCAGCAGCAGAUACUGGCAUGCUAGAGUAUGGAAGAGAGAAGUGGAAUUCUCGGAGUAGCGGUAAAAUGCGUAGAUCUCGAGAGGAACACCAAUGGCGAAGGCAGCUUCUUGGUCCAUUACUGACGCUCAUGCACGAAAGCGUGGGGAGCAAACAGG